rnacentral:lncRNA from 1 species
GGACGUAAAACCAGAGAAAGAUGUGGCCACAAUCACAACUACCGGUAAAUAUCAUUUUACUUUAUUGUUAUUUUAUCAUUUGCAUUAUUGCAUUUAAUGGUGUGAUUUUGUAUUUAGAUUGAAGAAAAUGCAAUGACAAGCUUCUGUUUGUCUUCCGAUUGUAAUAGUUUCAAGUUCGAAUAUUUCCAUUGCCUACAUCAAAUAAGAAAAUAAGACAAAAUAAUAGGGCAUUUAACAUUCCAAUUGACAACAAAUGAAAAGAGUGAAAAAUAAUAUUACAUGAAGCAACAAGCAGAAGGCUAGGAUCAAGUUCAUUCACAAGGCAGAGUUUGGAUAUUCCUUUGUUAGGAAAGUUGUGAUUAACAAAACUGUUGAGAAGGGUAGCUUCCUCAUAAUUCCAUAUCUUGCGAUUAAACAAAUACCGAACAGCUAAUGCAUUUGAGAGAGAUGAAAUUAUAAGAGACCAGAGGACCCAUCUCACUACAUUUAAUAAACAACAAAAUCAAAAUUUAUUGAACCAUCUCAUAGGAAAAAAACCCCAUGAGUGGCCAAAUUUGUACCCAAUUCUACACUCUACUAUGAAGCUUAUGAAGCCGAAAUUACUUCAACAUAUAUAAGCUCAUAUGUUGGCAAUCAUAGUCAAAGAUGGUUAUCAAGCAUCCUCACAAAUCAAGAAGCUAAUAAAAACCAGGUUGCACUACAUUAACAUAUAUCAGUUCUUUGAUAUAAAGAUAUUGAAUGUUAUACACUUCUAAUCCCAAGUCAUGAAACAUAAAACAAAAGUUCACUUCACACGCUCAUAAAAAUAGACUACUAGAAAAAUGGAGAAUAAGCAUCAGAUAUGAGUCAAUAAACUAUUAAGCUAAUUAAUGCACAGGAAGGACACUGGCAUAAUAAUAAUAAUAAAAAAAAAACCCAUUCAAAUUCUAAUUCAAUAUAUCAACAAACCCAUUCACAUUCUAAUUAAUAAAAAAAACACCAGUCGCGGAGCAACUUCUCCAACACAUUCAACAAACCUAUUUUCAUUUUAAUCCACAAACAACACCAGCAACAGAGCAGAUCCUUUGACAAACUAAUAAACCCAUUUUCAUUUUUCAAAAACAAAAUAAUGCCCAAUCACCGAUUUCUAACAUGCAAAGAGUUUUUUCAAAGACUAACCUUGUACGCAAUUGAGUGACAGUCGCCUCUAACGCCGACAGCAAGCGACACUCACUCGACGCCAUCACCCUUGAUUCAUCACAUGUUCUUUUAUUAUCGAAUUCUCCGAGCUAAAGUUGCAGGAUUGCUGUUGAUUUCUUUAUCUUCAAAACAUUUAGAAAUGGAGUAUGUGCGUAUUUUGGUUAGAUGAAGAACGCUUGUUUUUUGUGAUGGGUAGCUUCGAUAAAG